AGGAUGAACGCUGGCGGUCUGCUUAACACAUGCAAGUCGAACGGAGUAGAAAUACUUAGUGGCGGACGGGUGAGUAACGCGUGAGAAUCUACCUUCAGGACGGAGACAACAGUUGGAAACGACUGCUAACCCCCGAUGUACUGAAAAGGCAAAUAUUUAUAGCCUGAAGAAGAGCUCGCGUCCGAUUAGCUAGUUGGAGAGGUAAAAGCUCACCAAGGCGACGAUCGGUAGCUGGUCUGAGAGGACGAUCAGCCACACUGGGACUGAGACACGGCCCAGACUCCUACGGGAGGCAGCAGUGGGGAAUAUUGCACAAUGGGCGCAAGCCUGAUGCAGCAACGCCGCGUGAGGGACGACGGCCUUCGGGUUGUAACCUCUUUUAGUAGGGAAGAAGCGAAAGUGACGGUACCUGCAGAAAAGCACCGGCUAACUACGUGCCAGCAGCCGC
rnacentral:rRNA from 1 species